rnacentral:rRNA from 1 species
GAUUGAUGGUGCUUGCACCUGAUUGACGAUGGAUCACCAGUGAGUGGCGGACGGGUGAGUAACACGUAGGUAACCUGCCCCGGAGCGGGGGAUAACAUUUGGAAACAGAUGCUAAUACCGCAUAACAACAAAAGCCACAUGGCUUUUGUUUGAAAGAUGGCUUUGGCUAUCACUCUGGGAUGGACCUGCGGUGCAUUAGCUAGUUGGUAAGGUAACGGCUUACCAAGGCGAUGAUGCAUAGCCGAGUUGAGAGACUGAUCGGCCACAAUGGAACUGAGACACGGUCCAUACUCCUACGGGAGGCAGCAGUAGGGAAUCUUCCACAAUGGGCGCAAGCCUGAUGGAGCAACACCGCGUGAGUGAAGAAGGGUUUCGGCUCGUAAAGCUCUGUUGUUGGAGAAGAACGUGCGUGAGAGUAACUGUUCACGCAGUGACGGUAUCCAACCAGAAAGUCACGGCUAACUACGUGCCAGCAGCCGCGGUAAUACGUAGGUGGCAAGCGUUAUCCGGAUUUAUUGGGCGUAAAGCGAGCGCAGGCGGUUGCUUAGGUCUGAUGUGAAAGCCUUCGGCUUAACCGAAGAAGUGCAUCGGAAACCGGGCGACUUGAGUGCAGAAGAGGACAGUGGAACUCCAUGUGUAGCGGUGGAAUGCGUAGAUAUAUGGAAGAACACCAGUGGCGAAGGCGGCUGUCUGGUCUGCAACUGACGCUGAGGCUCGAAAGCAUGGGUAGCGAACAGGAUUAGAUACCCUGGUAGUCCAUGCCGUAAACGAUGAGUGCUAGGUGUUGGAGGGUUUCCGCCCUUCAGUGCCGGAGCUAACGCAUUAAGCACUCCGCCUGGGGAGUACGACCGCAAGGUUGAAACUCAAAGGAAUUGACGGGGGCCCGCACAAGCGGUGGAGCAUGUGGUUUAAUUCGAAGCUACGCGAAGAACCUUACCAGGUCUUGACAUCUUGCGCUAACCUUAGAGAUAAGGCGUUCCCUUCGGGGACGCAAUGACAGGUGGUGCAUGGUCGUCGUCAGCUCGUGUCGUGAGAUGUUGGGUUAAGUCCCGCAACGAGCGCAACCCUUGUUACUAGUUGCCAGCAUUAAGUUGGGCACUCUAGUGAGACUGCCGGUGACAAACCGGAGGAAGGUGGGGACGACGUCAGAUCAUCAUGCCCCUUAUGACCUGGGCUACACACGUGCUACAAUGGACGGUACAACGAGUCGCAAGCUCGCGAGAGUAAGCUAAUCUCUUAAAGCCGUUCUCAGUUCGGACUGUAGGCUGCAACUCGCCUACACGAAGUCGGAAUCGCUAGUAAUCGCGGAUCAGCAUGCCGCGGUGAAUACGUUCCCGGGCCUUGUACACACCGCCCGUCACACCAUGGGAGUUUGUAACGCCCAAAGUGCGG